CACUUGUAUAAAGAACGAUUCUGACAGCAGCGAAGUAGCGGGUCACAGACAAUUACCGUAACUUAGGGCAGAGGAUAUGAACAUACGCUGGUUGGUUCGAGAUAUCGCAUACUUCAUUUCAUGUGUGUACGGACGGAAACCUAAAAGUGAAUUUUAGGACAAACACAAACUUCAUUUUGUUUAAACUGCAACUAUCGCAUAACAGCAGAGAUAACUGUACACAUCAAUCACAUGAAAGAAUCGCAGUCAAUCGCGGGACCAACGAAUUGCCGAUUGGGUGUAUAUCCAUCCGAACUGCACAGAUAAUCCAUUCUUUGCCAAUUGCCGCCUCAUUGUGGCUGGGCAAUAUUGUACACA